rnacentral:rRNA from 1 species
GGAAAGUGUGGGCCAGCUGCCGCGUUGAGUGGGUGGGGGUGAGCGUUGCUUGGAAGAACUGGGCGUAAAGUGUUCUGAGGUGGGUCUUUAAGUCAGGGUUGAGAUCCUGGUGCGCAACUCCAGACCUGCCUUUGAUUCUGAAGGUCUUGAGUUCGGGAGAGGUGAGUGGAACUGCGAGGGUAGAGGUGAAAUUCGUAGAUAGUCGCAAGAACACCAGUGGCGAAGGCGGCUCACUGGCCCGAUACUGACGCUGAGGCACGAAAGCGUGGGGAGCAAACAGGAUUAGAUACCCCUGUAGUC